AUUUGGUAGCUGUACAUCGGAAUUUUUUAAAAUGUAUGCUAAAGGUCAUACGAUUCCAUCCUUCAUUCUUUUUUGUAAACUUAUCGAUUUUUAAAAAAAGAAAAAAAAAAAUCAUCAAAGUUUGUUUGGUCUUUACAGGUACUCCGACUCUUGGACAGUCUUCAUAUAAACUUUCUGUUGUGGAAACUGCAGAGUUAAUACUGUGGCUCGCGUCCUCUGUGCUGACCUCAUGGUGUAACCACGAGUAAAGAUGAGCAUAAGCAGUGAUGAGGUCAACUUCCUCGUUUACAGAUACCUGCAGGAGUCUGGCUUCUCCCAUUCAGCGUUCACGUUUGGUAUAGAGAGCCACAUCAGCCAGUCGAACAUCAACGGCGCCCUGGUGCCCCCUGCUGCUCUCAUCUCCAUCAUACAGAAGGGCCUGCAGUACGUGGAGGCAGAAGUCAGCAUCAACGAGGAUGGCACCCUGUUUGACGGCCGGCCGAUCGAAUCGCUCUCGCUUAUUGAUGCAGUGAUGCCCGACGUGGUGCAGACGCGACAGCAGGCCUACCGGGAUAAGCUGGCCCAGCAACAGGCCGCUGCAGCACCCCCUGCUGCCACCAGCUUGCAGGGCAGCGCUAAGAAUGGCGAGAGCACCACCAACGGCGAGGAGAAUGGGGCUCACACCUUAGCAAACAACCAUGCCGACAUGAUGGAGGUGGAUGGUGAUGUGGAGAUCCCGCAGAACAAAGCCAUGGUGCUACGUGGCCACGAGUCAGAGGUUUUCAUCUGCGCCUGGAAUCCUGUCAGUGACCUCCUCGCCUCUGGGUCCGGGGACUCGACGGCUCGCAUCUGGAACCUGAGCGAGAACAGUAGCAGCGGCUCCACGCAGCUCGUGCUGCGGCACUGCAUACGAGAAGGAGGGCAGGAUGUGCCGAGCAACAAGGACGUCACGUCACUAGACUGGAAUAGUGAAGGCACACUACUAGCAACUGGCUCUUAUGAUGGAUUUGCAAGAAUAUGGACGAAAGAUGGUAAUCUUGCCAGUACCUUGGGUCAGCACAAGGGUCCUAUUUUUGCCUUGAAGUGGAAUAAAAAAGGAAAUUUCAUUCUCAGUGCUGGUGUUGAUAAGACCACAAUCAUUUGGGAUGCUCACACCGGAGAAGCAAAGCAACAGUUUCCCUUUCAUUCAGCUCCUGCACUGGAUGUGGACUGGCAAAGUAACAACACGUUUGCUUCGUGCAGCACUGAUAUGUGUAUCCACGUGUGUAAACUUGGCCAGGACAGACCCAUCAAGACAUUCCAGGGGCACACAUGUCACAGAGGGCAUUGGCACUUGACUAUGGUUUUAUUACUGAGUUUUAGGGUUUUGGCUUCUUGGCAGAUCUGGAGUAUGAAACAAGACACCUGUGUUCAUGAUUUGCAAGCGCACAGCAAAGAAAUUUAUACUAUUAAAUGGAGUCCCACUGGGCCUGGAACCAACAACCCUAAUGCCAACCUUAUGCUUGCCAGUGCGUCCUUCGACUCGACUGUUCGACUGUGGGAUGUCGACCGAGGGAUCUGCAUCCACACAUUGACCAAACAUCAGGAACCCGUGUACAGUGUUGCCUUCAGCCCAGACGGCAGAUACUUGGCCAGUGGCUCCUUUGACAAGUGUGUCCAUAUCUGGAACACGCAGACUGGUUCUUUAGUUCAUAGCUACAGGGGAACAGGAGGCAUCUUUGAGGUUUGUUGGAAUGCCACAGGGGACAAAGUGGGCGCAAGUGCAUCAGACGGAUCGGUGUGUGUAUUAGACCUGCGGAAAUAACACUGCUUGUUGGAAGCCAUGGACCGACUAUGAAUGUGUACAUAGCCAAAAUUGACUGUCCCUGCCUCGUUUACUGCUGCGGUCCCAUCGGAACCAUGGCCGACCACUACAGCCAAAACAAGCAGAAUGAAGAAGAGAAGAGGGCGCGCUCCUACCCUGUUGUCCACGCUGGGGACACCACCCACUGACGCAAAACCGAUGUUAUGUGUCGACUUGGAAACGGAGGAAUAAGGACCCGUAUACAUGUACCAAAAUCUGAAAGAUUUCUUUUGGUUAGCCAAACCAAGGAUUUUUAUUCUUUAUUGGUAGAUCACUAUGUGUGUGACAUAUCUGCUUCACAUGUGGCAGGAGGAUUUUUUCCUUUCUAAACGUUUUUUUUUUUUUUUUUUUUUUUUUUUUUUAAUUUUAAUUUGAAUUUUUUUGUUUAGGUUACAGCUGCAUGAAAUGGCGGAGUCGAAUCGGCUUCCUCCACUUCUUCUGGAGAGAAUGCAGUUUUAAAAUGUCUUUGGCACUGUACGUAAUAUGGUUCAAACACGUGGGGCUGCUGUUUUUUUAUUUUAUUUUAAUUUUUAAUUUUCCUUUCUCUACUUUUGACUAUGGUUUUACUGUUGACAUACAGGUGCAGCAGAUUUUUUUAAGGGGAUAUUUAUUCUGCGGAAUAUAAAGGAAUACUAAAAAUAAGGUGGGCACAAAAAUUUGAGAAGAUGCAUUAUGCAUCAUUUUGCUUUAAAACCAUAAUUAUGGUUAGAUUGUGCACUAUUGAUAAAGCAACAUAAAAAUGUUCAUUCAUAGAACAUUCUGGACAAAGGAUGACUGCUGUAAGUGUAUUCAGGAAUCUCCCUUCAUUAGUAUAUUGCAGAUAACUUGUUGGUUCACAACAAAAUUAGACUUCAGUAUUAAUCACUGAUGAGGUGUAGCCUAUACGAAAUGUGCAUGGCACAGUUUAUUAAAAACGAACAUUAGAUAGACUAACAUCUACAAUAUAUCACUAGAAAAGGGAAGACUUGCUUUUUUUGAUAAACUUGUAAACUUGAACUUUUCCAGUUAAUGUUUCAUAGUUUUUCAUAUUUAGUUUUUUGACAGAAAUGCAGUAGUGCAGCAUCAAAUGUUGUUUUAAAUAUUAAAAGCUUAAAGCCAGUCUGGGUGCUGGGCAGGUGGAAGAAACUGCAGAGAGUGAUAUGGAACAAGCAUUGUAACCACAUCGAAACCUUAUUCACAGGACAUUGUUUUAUAUAUUACUCAUAAAUAAGGGUAGUUUUAUAGUGUAUUAUUUUGUGCCGUUUAAAACACAAUUGCCAGUGUGUGGAAAUUACACAUUACGUGGAAUGUUUUUACCAGACAGUGGUUCUCUCAGUUGUUGCUUCAGAAAAUCCAAUAAGAUUCUCCUAAAGAGGAUCAUUCUUUUGUCUUCUGUCUCACAUGUCUUUUGGCGGCUGAAACUAUUUUUUUUUUUUUUUUUUUUUAAAUAAAUUGUCCCCAGGAUUUGGCUGUUUAAAAUAU
ensembl:lncRNA